rnacentral:rRNA from 1 species
UACGUAGGGUGCAAGCGUUGUCCGGAAUUAUUGGGCGUAAAGAGCUCGUAGGCGGUCUGUCGCGUCGGCUGUGAAAUCCCGAGGCUCAACCUCGGGUCUGCAGUCGAUACGGGCAAACUAGAGUAUUGCAGGGGAGACUGGAAUUCCUGGUGUAGCGGUGAAAUGCGCAGAUAUCCGGAGGAACACCAGUGGCGAAGGCGACUUUCUGGCCUGUUCUUGACGCUGAGGCGCGAAAGCUAGGGGAGCAAACGGG